rnacentral:rRNA from 1 species
CGUAGGGCGCAAGCGUUGUCCGGAAUUAUUGGGCGUAAAGAGCUCGUAGGCGGCUUGUCACGUCGGGUGUGAAAGCCCGGGGCUUAACCCCGGGUCUGCAUUCGAUACGGGCUAGCUAGAGUGUGGUAGGGGAGAUCGGAAUUCCUGGUGUAGCGGUGAAAUGCGCAGAUAUCAGGAGGAACACCGGUGGCGAAGGCGGAUCUCUGGGCCAUUACUGACGCUGAGGAGCGAAAGCGUGGGAGCGAACAGGAUUAGAUACCCUGGUAGUCCACGCCGUAAACGGUGGGAACUAGGUGUUGGCGACAUUCCACGUCGUCGGUGCCGCAGCUAACGCAUUAAGUUCCCCGCCUGGGGAGUACGGCCGCAAGGCUA